rnacentral:tRNA from 1 species
GGCCCUGUAGCGCAGUUGGUUAGCGUGCCGCCCUGUCACGGCGGGAGGUCGCGGGUUCAAGUCCCGUCAGGGUCG